CAUACUUAUCCCCGGCUGGCCAAUGGGCGCCUCGAACACAGGCUCACAUGACGCCUUUCUGUGCGCUCCCUGUCCUCUCAGCGCUCAAUCCCGGCGAGUGCAGGCAUCACUGAAGACCUGACACCGGCGGAAUCGGACGUUCGCCGUCCUCGGCGGGACUCACCAGGUGUUGUGUUAUGCAAACUUCACUGCCAUCCGAUGACGCUGUCACAUCCCUUCGACGAGAAUGACCCCUGGCUUUGUCGGAGGAGCACACUUGGCCGUCUCCAAAACGCAGAGUCGCAGGGGCGAGACAAUAACGCCCAGAAGUUAUAGAAAUGAAUUGUCGUGAAAAGAGCUGGAACGAGAAGAGGAGUGCUCACAGCGUUAGCCAUCGCUGCAGAGUGAAGGAGCGGGUAGAGGAGCAAAAAAGACAAGUGAAAGAGGUCCAGACUUGAAGGAGGCACGCAAGCACAGAGAGACACACAUAAUGGCACCUAGAGGCUGUCUGCGGUCUACCACCACCCUACCACACACACACACACACACACAGACACACAGACACACACACACACACACACACACACAUACAUGCAUGCCAGUUACGGUAAAAAUCAGAACACUGAAGGAGGAUCAUUAUGGCCUCCUUCAGGAAAAAAACAAUGUUUUCUAGUUUUCUUCUCCAAGGAGAGAAACAUUGACAAGUUAUAUUCGAGAAAGCUACAAAAUUCAGUCAUUUAAAGAGCUUUGCAGUUUCCAGUACCAGCACUGUUAAAAGCUGUUUUUUGGUUUGAUUUAAUGCGAGAUGUAAAAAAACAAAACAAAAAAACUUAAAUGUCAAAUUUAAAUUCUCACUUUUUUUAUUUCUAAUUUAAUUUUCCAAGUCUUUGCUCAUGUCAUAUAUCUCAUAUCAUUUGCGAUUUGUCCACGUGUGCACGUGUACUUAUGGCUGCUUCGUUUUUCAAUUUCUAUUUUCAUCAGUCAAAACCCAUCCACACAAGUCAAAUUUAACAGCUGCACCACAUAUCCCACAAGCCCCCUAACCCACCCUGUGUCCCUCCCAGGGUUCCCAGCAUCCUGCUUUGCACACCCUACCAAAAACCCAGGCAUGCUGAAAUUACAGUGUGUGGAGGAGGAUUGUGGGAAAGCGUUCCCUCCCUCUAACUCUGUAUUUGCCCUCCUUAUCAUUUUUUGGUUUUUUCCUCCUUCAUUCUGCUACCGUUUCGGACGGGUUCGGUUUAGUUUGAUGUUCAGUUAAGUGUCAGACCGAACGUUAAGUUACAAUUUGCAUCAGCAAUAAGGGUGACUAAAGUUCAGCGUGAGAUUAACGAGGCACGAAUGCGGCGCUAAAUAAGAUUGACCUCGUCGUAUUGAUUAGUCUAUUUGUUGCUCUUUAAUAAUUACGGCUAGGGUGAUAGUCUGUCCUGUUCUGAUACCGUCAGGGAAACGGCGUGUUUGUGCCUUUUAUGAGCUUGCACGCACACAGCUCAUUAGCAUACAGAGAUUAAUUAAUUUGGUUUGAUGUUCUGUUCAGUAUGUCUUCAAAAUGUCACUCUGAGGUAUGUGUGUGUGUUUAUACUACAAACACACUCAAAUGUAAUAGGAUUUGUGUGUUGAAUUCAAUUUGAGAGGUUAAUAGAAGUAACCAAGAACAGUGUUGGACACGCGAUCUGCUGACAGCUUGCAAAUAACUGUGAUUUGCCAGAUAAGACCAAGUAGUGUCAGCUACAGAGGCUUGAACUCGUAUUCAACAGAAAAUCAUUGGAUUAUGCAAAGUGCAGUGCUGCUUGAAUCAGUUGUGGCAUCGUGCUCGCGGUUUGUAGCUUCAGGUUAACUGAAAGCGCCGCCCUCGCACUGACCGUGUUCCUAACCAGCUCUAAUGAUACACCCCAUCAGUUCAGCUUCGCCUGCACCGGGGUUAGCUUGGUUAACAGUCGGCUGAGGUGAAGCGUGUGUGUGUGUGUGUGUGUGCCAGCUAUUAAAGCACUUCAGAAUCAGAGUGGAAAGGACUCGCACUGCUAAUGGAUGUGUCUAUUGAUGUUCCCAUUUAGCGGCACACUGUAAACGAUAGGCCAAUGAUUGUGUUGAAGACGGAAGGAGGUGGAGGAGGAUUGAGAGCUGUUUGGCUGGGCGAUGAUAAUGACAAAGAAGGUUAUUAUUUGGCGCCCCAUGGAGUCUCUCUGGGCUUUGUGUGUGACGGGGAGUAGCGAGAGAGGGUGAAGAGGUGCACUCGUUCUCCGUGUCUCUCUCUCUCUCUCCCUGCCUACUAGCUAUUAUUCAUUUCUCACUUUUUUCCCCCCUAGUCCACUCCACUCAUGACAUUACUUACUGCAGCCAGUCUACAUCCAAUUGUGGCUGUCUCUUUUUAGCAUCCUCUUCUAUUUCUCUUUUCUUCGUUGCUUCCUUUUUUUUUAACUAGAUAGCACAGAUAGCUGUUGUGACAGUAAAUAUAAAAUAGCAGUAAAAUAAGUCAAAGACAGAAUAAUGCAGCAGUGGCAGCAAAAUAGUUUUUCCUUUUAAAUUUUUUAGGAUAACAGGUUGCAGUUAAAAUAUUGAUUUUUUUUUCACUUUUCCACACAGCUGUGUGUGUGUGUGUGUGUGCUGUCAGUUCCAAUCACUGUGUGUGUGAUGAAUAUGAAAACAGUCAGGCUGCCUGCAGGUUUGGCAGGAGACCACCUCCAGCUGGACUCAGACCCCUACUCAAGUGUGUCUGUGUGUGUUUUGUGAACGUGGUUGUACAAGUCAGCUUGUAUCUGUCAGUGCUGUGACAACCUCAAGAGGACAUAACAAAAAAACCCCAAAAAACAGUUAUAUAUAUAAUACACUGCCUGGAACACAACGAAUCAAAAUCACACUAACAAAUUCAACAAGUUUAAGCAGCUUUAAUAAUUGAAUUUGACGCUUUUCUUAUUUAUAAUGUAAAACUAUGCUAUAUAAGCUAGAAUGUAUUAAGACUGCAUUUAAUAGGUAAGGUAAUGCUACUUUUGAUAAUUUCCUGUGUUUCAUCAUCCAUCCUUACUUCCUUUUUAGAUUUAAGCAACCCAAUUCUUUCCAUUGUAGCUCAUCAGUCCUUGCUAGUGUUUUGUGAGUAUUUGUGUCUCGCUUUUUUUCACACUGCUGAUUCUCAGGCCUAAAAUACUUUGUCUGUCCCAAAAGUUGGGGAAAUUGCUGUGUUGCAGCAGUCAAAACAUGGGGAAAAAACCCAUCUUAUAAUAAUAAUAAUCACAGGAUGAGAUUACUUGGAAAGGUUGGGGGAAAAAAAACACUAAAAAGAAGCGCCAUUAACUAGCAAUUAGCCUCAAUAGACUCAAUAGAUUUAUUUAGUAUUUAAAGUUGCAUUGUGGAGCUUAAACAUAAUAAUGCUGAUGCUGUGGUACGAGCUGGUAAAGAGUCUCUUAUCUGUUUUUUCGUCAGCGGAGCUGAAACACAUGUUAGGGAUAGGCGUCAGCUGCAUGCCUGGUUAGUGGACACAAAUAUCUCGUCAGUGUAGUAAAAAUCCAUCUAUCAUUCUGCAUGUGCGCGUCUGUAAUCGCAGGGCGGCAGAUAAAGAGGGAGAUGCCAUUCCAGCUGUGAGGGGACAGCGGAAGUCAACACACACACACACUCAAUCACACAGAGCCGGAGGCGCGUGAGCAGGUGAGCAUUAAGUCAGGCAGCUAAACAGAUCACGUCGCGGUAUGAUAUCUGCAGACAGGCAGACAGAGGAGGCCGGUCUGUACCUGCAGGCAGAGAGCAACAACUCGCAGCACCCUCGCCAGGAAUUUCCUCCCCCUCCUGAGAGAGAGAGAGAGAGAGAGAGAGACAUGAAAGUGAAGGUGAGAGACGGGCAUUAACUGGGGUUUCCAAUUUUUUUUUAAUGCAUAUCCAGUUUCUUUGAGCUAUUUAACCCUAAACCUGACUCCAUUUUUUUUUCUUAUGAUAUUUUAAUCAUUUACUGCAUGUUGGUCAGCUCCAGAAUUCUAGUACAAGUAAUUUCACCCAUUAAGGCCUUUAAAAAUGUUACCAUUAACAUUUUUGUGUGAGUAGUGUACUAAGAAAAGUGGAUAAUAAAAGAUAUAUUCCUUUUGUUAACUCACAACCGAUAAGACCCACACAAUCUGAAUUUAAAUGGUUUUUCUUAGUUUACUUAGUUUCACGUCUCACCAAGAAAAAUCUGUGUUCCUCUGCCAAAAUAAGCAUCAGUAGUAACCUUCUACGCUAGUGAGACAAAGAUCGAACGAGAAGAGUACAAAUCUUACGUAGAGAAAACGAAUCCUAAACCUAAUGGUUGGUGACAUUUCAGCCCAACACUUAUCUUUAACACCAUCUGAUGAAACUGUAUCGUCAGACAUUACAAAACUCGAUACUGUGCGAUUGGGUACAGUCAGUUCUUUUGUUGUUUUUCGAGUAAUUUAAUCACCUCUUGCAGAUGCCUUUCUGGAAUUACAGGUAUGUUUUUUUUUCACAGUACUAACUGUGAAACACUGACAGUAUCCAUUACACCAACUUGUUCUGCAAGUUUCUGUAUUGCUGGCACUCCUUUAAAGCAGUUUUGUAACAGUACUUCAUUUUAAGUCUGCUCAACAUAUGUGGUGGUAAUCUGCGGCAUCCUGUAUCACAUUCAUACUGUGGUCUCUUGCUCUGGACCACCAAACAGCGUCACCGAACCAACUGUGGGAUACGCCGUUGCUCAAGAGAACGUCAGCAUUAGUCAUUAACUAGAUAACCCCUUGAGUCACUUCUCCAGCUUUUGCACAAAUAUUAUUUUCCCCUUUAAUUUCCUCUCCUUAUUCUUAAUGUUUGCGCGGCCCCUUUUCAAAAGCUCUUUAUAGCUCAUAGUUAACCUAAAAAGAGAAAAAAACCUCCUGAAAUUUUCACAAGUCUCAAAUCUGCCUCCACCGCAUCCACUUAUCUAAAAAUGUUUCAGUGGUUAAAUGUCAGAGCUGUCUGUGCCAUUAAGGCCAGCAUGUUUGAAGGAAGGACACCCAUGCCAGCCCUCUCCCUCCUCCCUUUUCUGUCUCUUCUUAUUCCUCUCCCCACUUAGCUUCCUCAUAAUGCUCCAGCACCCCCCCCCCCUUCCAACCCAUGCUGGUUUGAGGGCUGAUGUGCAGACCUUGUCAUUCAGAUUAGGGCCACAUUGUCAGCUCAGGGCCCUUCUCUCUCUUUAGUUGCAUGUCCCAGAUCUUUCUUCCUACUGUCAUCUUCAUCCUGCGGCCAGAGAAGACCUUAUAAAGCUACAUUCCUUCUCAUCCACUUCUGUCAAUUCCAGCGCUGUCACUCAAAUCACUGUUGUGGAGAGUGAAAAGAGACCGAGUUAACGUGUCCCUCGCAGCAAGGACUGUGCUUUUUGGUCCAAGAUCAGCUGUCAUCAGCUAACAAAUUAGUUUUAUUAUUACUAUCAUUAUUAUUAUUAUUAUUUUUGCUCUGGACCUAAAAGCUAAAUUAACACACGCGAUCUAAAAUUCUUCACAAAUGAAUACUGCUUAUUGUUUUCUUGCCUAACAGUAAAGACAGAGCCAUCUUGCUAUUUUUAACUCUCUGUUUUCUGUGUAAAAGGAGUAUCUGGCAGGAGAUGAGAUAUCCACCACAUCAGCUUAGUCACUCCUUAUCCUGCCCUGGAAAAGCGUCCCAACAACGUAUUUAUCAUCCGACCACAUCUUGACUCACUGCCACAGUUGCCGUCACAUCGUAUCUAAUUGCUCCAGCAGCUCCGUGGCAUUUGAUUUUUGUGCUUCUCACAAACCCUGCAAACUUGUUUUUUGUUUUGCUUUUUUCUCUCUCUCUCUCAAGUUGAUUCAGCACUGUGUAAUAAAGCCAUUGAUGCAAAAUGGUGGAUAGUUUCUUUACUGUUUUUAGUGUAAGAAGAGGAGGAAAGAAAAAAACACCCCAGUCUUCGGCCACAGCGCCACAUCAUAGCGAAAUGGCAGCCGCUAUCAAUCAGGGUGAGUCGGCAGUUUCACACCCGGUGUCUUCCUCAUCCUGCAGCUUGCAUGAAGCCAUUCAGGCAUGCCGGGGCCUCUCUAGACACCACGCCACUGUGCUUUCAGUACACUGUAUGCCAAUUGGCUGCAGCCUCCACCCAGGUGAUACGUUUACUAAAACCCACUAUGAGUCAGGAGUUUCAAGAUGACUUCCCUCUUCUAACUGUUAUUUACCAAGGAAAUGUUUUCUUACACACUGACGAGUUCUUUGGUGUAAUAAUGACCAUGUGGCAUGGAAGUCAAUGGUAAAUGCAGCUCUCCAGGCUUGAUGGAAAUGUUCUUCUACUAAGAAAUCCAAAUAAAUGGAUUUAGUGAAAAAUUAUUGUUGCUUAAAAAAGUUCAGCAUAUAUUUUAAAAUCUUCUUUUAUACCUCUCUAGAGGUAGUGGAUGUAAAAAAGGAAAACAAGCUCCAAAUGAUGUGAAAGAUGGCAGCAUUGUGAUUAACCGAACUGUUAAAAAUAAUGUGUUCUUAUAAUUUAUCACUAUUUAUUGCCAGUUUGUAUUAACUGGAAGUUUGACUUGGAUAUUAUUAGUCAUCUGAUUAGCCUAACUGGAAAAGAUGGUAUAAUUCAGGUUUGUUAAAACAGUCAUGACCUUGUCAGUGUUACUAAGAAAGGGAGGUUUGGUGAGAGAAGAAAGAAGCUCUUCCCUCACAAAGAAGAUAUGCUCCCGCCAAGCAGACUGUCAUUCCCAGUCACCA